rnacentral:misc_RNA from 1 species
GAUGAAGAACGUAGCGAAAUGCGAUAACUAAUGUGAAUUGCAGAAUUCAGUGAAUCAUCGAGUCUUUGAACGUACAUUGCGCCCCCUGGUAUUCCGGGGGGCAUGCCUGUCCGAGCGUCAUUGCUGCCCUCAAGCACGGCUUGUGUGUUGGGCUCCGUCCCCCCGGGGACGGGUCCGAAAGGCAGCGGCGGCACCGAGUCCGGUCCUCGAGCGUAUGGGGCUUUGUCACCCGCUCUGUAGGCCCGGCCGGCGCCAGCCGACAACCAAUCAUCCUUUUUUCAGGUUGACCUCGGAUCAGGUAGGGAUACCCGCUGAACUUAAGCAUAUCAAUAAGCGGAGGA